CUAGCUCCCUUCUACAUGAGCCUAAUGUUCAUGGGAGGGAGAAAGAUAAGGAGCAUAUAAUACAAAUGCUUCUCGCAGACCAUGAGAAUAGCAGGAAUUCGGUUUCCGUCUUACCUAUAGUUGGAAUGGGGGGGAUCGGUAAGACUACGCUCGCACAGCUUGUGUACAACGAUCCUAGAGUGUCUCAUCGCUUUCGACAAAAGGGGUGGGUCUGUGUAUCCGAAAAUUUUGAUGUGCUAGAGUUAGCAAGAAAGAUUUACACCUCGAUCACUAAAAGAAGUUGCUACUACACUGAACUAAACGAGAUUGUGGAUGCUCUUAGGGAAGAAUUGAUGGGCAAGAGGUUCUUACUAGUGCUCGAUGAUGUCUGGAAUGACAACCCGAAUCUCUGGACUCCGCUGAGAGACUUCCUCUUUGCUCUAGAACCCGGUAAAGUUAUAGUAACUACUCGGAAUGAAUCGACAGCUAAGAUCAUGCAGACGGUGCCUCCUCAUAGGUUAGACCGCUUGGGCUUUGAGGAUUGUUGGUUGAUCUUUCUGCAACAAGCCUUUGAGGGUCGAGAUCCAACUGCACUUCCGGAAUUGGUAGAAAUCGGUAAAAAGAUUGUCGUGAAGUGUAAGGGAUUGCCUUUGGCUGUCAAGGUACUUGGUGGCCUCCUUCGUUUCGAAAGUGAUGAUUGGAAAUGGACCGAUAUAUUGGAUAGUGAGUUAUGGGAAUUGGAUGAAGAGGAGGAUCAGAUCCUGCCAGCACUGAGAUUGAGCUACGAUCGCAUGCCGCCAGCUUUGAAGCAAUGCUUUAUGUACUUCUCCUUGUUUCCAAAAGACUAUGAUUUCUAUAAGAAUAAUAUGGUCAGGCUGUUGAUGUCGCAAGGACUUUUCAGAUCUGACGGAACAGAGCGAGAAGAGGACAUCGGCAGAGCAUUUCUUGACGACUUGUUACAAAGGUCGAUUCUCGAGUAUGAUCCUAACUAUGAGAGUAAAGAAUUACUGAAAAUGCAUGAUCUCGUCCACGAUCUUGCACAAUCUGUUGUAGGGGAAGAAUUCAUUAGAGUAGACUAUGGCGAGCUACGCGACCUCCCCGGAGAAGUUAGACAUUUAUCAUUGGUUUGGAGCAACUCCAUCUCUAACUUGAAUCUCCUGCCAUUAAAGAAAUUGAAAUCUCUUCGGACGUUCUUAAUUAUAAUAAGAGAUGAUAUUUUCAUGCACCCAGAAGUUCAUGUUGAUGUACUGAAUGAUCUCUUCAGGAACUUGAAAAGACUACGAGCUUUAAAUUUGAGAUGGACAAGAAUUGGAGCAUUGCCCGAGUCAAUCGGGAACUUGAAACUUCUACGCUACCUUGACAUUGGGCAUACUGAUGUUAAAAGGCUUCCAGAAUCGAUAUUUGGUCUCUACAAUCUACAGACAUUAGGUAUUAAAUAUGAUGCCUUGGCGGAGUCACCUGAAGCCAUAAAGGAGUUGGUCAACUUGCGACAUCUUCUUCUAAAGGAAGGUACACAUCCAAAGUACCUCCCAUCUGGUAUCAGACAUCUAACAAAGUUGCAGACAUUAAAAUCAAUUCAUCUUGGAAGGGAGUCUAGGCACUUUAAGAUACAAGAUCUUAAGAACUUGGCUCACCUCAAAGGAAGUCUCCUGAUUCUAAAUCUUAAGAAUGUCACCAGUGUUGAGGAUGCUGAAGAGGCAAAUUUGAAGAGCAAGAAAGAUCUCAAACUCUUGGAUUUAUCGUGGAAAUGCAGUGACAUCCUGUACUGUAAUGCAAGCCAUGGGCGAAGUUCUGGAGAGUCGUCGAACGUUCCUUCAGAAGCCACUAGUUCAUUGUUAACUGCUGAUUGGUUUGAGGAGCGGGUACUUGCGAGCCUUGAGCCACAUACUAACCUCGAAGAGUUCAUUGUAAGUUAUUACAGUGGUAUUAGAUUCCCGCGAUGGGUUGGCGAUGCUUCCUUCACUAAGUUGGUCAAAAUAAUACUAAUGAAUUGCCAGAAAUGUAUAUUGCUGCCGCCACUGGGUCAACUGCCGUCUCUGAGGUAUUUAAGUAUGUCUAAUAUUGAAAGCUUGCAACAUAUCGGGUGCGAGUUUUAUGGCAACGGUGCUACAGCCAAGGGGUUCCCAUCACUUGAGACCGCGGUAAUCUCAUGCAUGGACAAUUGGGUGGAGUGGGGAGGUGGCGGAGAUGGUGACUUUCCUCAUCUCCGAGAACUUAAUAUUGCUGAUUGCCCUAAACUGCGGAGGCUUCCGCAACAUCUUUAUUCCUCACUGACCCAAUUAGUUUUGUGCAAUUGCGAGAAACUUGAUGAACUUCCCAUGCUCCCUUCACUGACUCAUUUAACUCUGCGAGGGGACUUUGAUGAAAAGAUUCUCUCUUCCUUGUGUCUCCAUUUCCUUCAUUCUUUAGAAAUUACGGGCCUCAAGAAUCUUCCUGUUGAAUUUCGGAACCUGUACUCCCUCAAGAAAUUAUGUAUUUCUCAAUGUUACGAAUUGGAAAAAGUGGUGAGUCUUUCCGAACUCCCUUCUCUCGAGGAAUUAUUAAUAUGGAGUUCUCCCCAAGUGCAGUUCCGACUUCAUUCAUCUGAAGAUAUCAUAACCGGAAAUUGCCCUUCGCUGCAAGAGUGGUGCAGAAGACGCGAUAUCGACUUGACUUAUUCAGGUAUGAUCCUCUAGAAGAAUUCUAUACACCUUAUUACUAGUUUAUUUAUAUGUUUCCCUCAUAUUUGUUUUUGUGUUUUGGAAACAGAUUAACAUGGCAAGAAAGAAUCUCCUAAUGGAAAAGCGGCAGCAUAGCCGCACUUCCUGAAUACUGAGUAGAUUAAACAAUGCCUUGCAAUAUGUAAUGUAGGUAAGAGGAUCAAUCUGAGUUCCAUGGCUGAUUUUAGUCACAUAUCAGACUUGUGGUUUUUGAUCAAAUAUGAAAGUGCGGAAGAGAAGUAACUAGAAGGUGCUAAUUUGGUAUUUCAAAGUGAUUGUCCUUAAUUUAUGCUUUUUUUUUUUUUGUCCAUGUUGUCUUACUCAUCAUAUUUUGUUGUAACAAUUUUAAAAAUAAAAGACUUUUCUAAUUUACUAUAUUUAUACAAUUCAUAUCUAUGUAUCUGGAAAAGAAAAGGGACUAUAACCAAUUUUCGAACUUCUGCUCGAAAGAAAAAAAAAAAAAACUUCAAUUUGCCUUUUUAUGAUUUAAAAUAUACUUAUUCAUAUUGUACUCUAAAAAGUUGCACAUUUAGAUCUUGCUUACUAUUCUUAUCAGGGGAUGGCACGGACCGUCGAUUUGCGCCCUUUGCUACAAGAAUGGAGAAAGUCUGGCACACAUCCUUUUCACCUGCAGGUUACGCGACGACUGUGUGGGCUCAUCUUCUACAAGCUUUUCCGACCACUCAACAAUCGAUGACUACACUCCCAGGAGAUUUACCAGCUAGAUGGAUUAAGGCUAGGCUAACUGUGAGAGGGCAGGAAAAGGGAUUUUUUGAUAUCUGUUUUGCUGCAACAUGUUGGGAAUUAUGGACGGAGCGGAAUACGCGCAUUUUCGACGAUCGACAGAUUCGACCGGACGAAUCUGCAAGAAGGGUUCACAGCUUGGUUAAUCUUUGGAUGUCUGUGUUAGGAGCUUGAUGGGCAGGAGCAUGGCCAGGAGCAUGGAAUUAUAGGAAGCCAACUUUGCCCUUCUUUUAUUUCCUUCGUUUAUUACGGGCUGGUAUGGUCUGGUAGCAGUUACAUGUGCUUCAAUCAUUUUGUUGCUUUGACAUGAUAUUAUGUAUGACCGACCGUUCCAGAACAAAUGACAAAUAACUUAGUCGUAGGUAUUCGUGGCCUAAGUUCGAAUUCUAGUUGAUUUAUUUUUCCAACUAAGUUUAUUCUGAAUGAAAUAAAUAAAGCGGAUAGUAUGCUACCUAUCUCUCUNCAUGUUAUUAUGUAUGUGUAGUUCUUUGUUGCGCUGACGACAAAGCAGCUGUAAACCCCUGUUUUCUCAAAAAAAAAAAAAAGUUUUUUGAAAAAUGACGAACAGGAAACUUUUUCUCUUAUUAUAAUAACUAAUUAGCUUAUAAUAUACAUUAAUAUUUCCAACUAAGUUUAUUCUGAAUGAAACAAACGAAGCGGAUAGUAUGCUACUUAUCUCUCAAAAAAAAAAUAAAAAUGUUAUUAUGUAUGUGUGGUUCUUUGUCGCGCUGAAGGCAAAGCAGUUGUAAACCCCUGUUUUCUCAAAAAAAAAAAAAAGUUUUUUGAAAAAUGACGAACAGGAAACUUUUUUCUUAUUAUAAUAACUAAUUAGCUUACAAUAUACAUUAAUAUAUCCGAAACUAUAACAUACACCGAUCAAUGAUAGAUGAUAAUAUAUUUUAUAAAUAAAAAAAUUACCAAGAAAUUAAAAAAAAUUAAAUUAAUUGAUGACUAAUAACUAACAUAGUUAUUAUUUUUCAUAAAAUUUUUAACUAAAUAAAUCAAAUGAAAAGGUUUAGAUAAAAUGAUUAAAAGCUGAAGGGUCUAAGGCUUCGUUUGGAAUUGCGAGGAGAUUGCGUUACGCGCGGUGAGAAAGUAUGUUGGAAAAAUAUCCUGUUUGUUUCCGUACGUAAUAUUGCGUUCCGCAUAUCGUGAUGAGUCGGUUACUAUAUAUUUUCUGCGGUCCCACCGGAGAACGCAAAAGCAUAUCCCUAUAUACUUUUUCUUCAAUUCUAUUUUAUUUAAUAGCGUUAGAUAGAUCUCAAUACCAAACUGAGCUUAAAACAAAUAAUGAACGGAUUUCAAAGCUUCUAAUAGUUGAGGGGGGUAUCCGUGCCUUAAUUUGAGCCCCUUGUAAACCCCGGAUCCGCGCUACCCUGGAUCGUUCCUGCUCGCAUCUCUAUGUAAGAUUGAGAUAAAUGUUGACAGAGCUACGAACAAAGCAUCAGUCCUUUUCAAAAAGGAAAAAGUCAACACAUCUACAAUCAUUGGUUCUAUUUAAUUCAUCAAUAAUAGAUUAAGACGUAUCCGCACAUGACUAGAAAUAGGUUGGUUUCUUCGGCAGCUUAUGCAGCUGAGUGAAAGAAGAAGAAGAAGGAAAGAGACCACUAAUGGCUGCAGGCUUUGUAUCUUCCAUCAUCAAGUGGACGGUCGAAAAAUUUUCUUCUUUGACCCCUCCACAGAGUACUGCCGGCUGUUCAACAUCCGAACCUCAUGCUCGCGCCAUCGAAGACUUCGAGGUGCUGCAGAAGACAAUGCAGUCGAUCCAAGAUGCGGUCGACAACACAGACGAGAAGGACGUGCGGAGUUUCUCUGAAAAGCUCCGUCUGAAGGAGCUGAGCGGAGCCGCUCGCGACGCGGAAGACGUGUUCGAGGAGUAUGAGUACGAAGUGCUGCGGGCAAAAGCCGAAGCUCGGAGUCGGAGACAAGUAGGCAUCGGCCAGAAGCGCAAGCUCGAGGAGGUAUGUGAAACCAGCACUGAUGAUAUUCCUGCACUAGUUCCCGUUCCGAAUGAUUUAAUAAUUAGAAUGAAAGAAAUCAAGAAGAGGUUUGACACGAUCACGAAGGAAUGGGACGCUCUCUGUCUGAGAGAGAGCGACGGGCCGCGGCGGCGUAAUGAUCAUGCGUGGACGCCGAAGCCAACUAGCUCACUUGUGCAUGAGCCUAGUGUUCACGGCAGGGAGGAUGAUAAGGAGAAUAUAAUACAAAUGCUUCUCGAAGACGAUGAGAACAGCAGGAACUCGGUUUCGGUCUUGCCUAUAGUUGGAAUGGGGGGGAUCGGUAAGACUACUCUCGCACAGCUUGUGUAUAAUGAUCCUAGAGUGUGUCAUCGCUUCCGACAAAAGGGAUGGGUCUGCGUAUCUGAAAAUUUUGAUGUGCUGGAGUUAACAAGAAAGAUCUUCACCUCGAUCACUAAAAGAAGUUGCAGCUACGCCGAACUAAAUGAGAUUACGGAUGCUUUUAGGGAAGAAUUGAUGGGUAAGAGGUUCUUACUUGUGCUCGAUGAUGUCUGGAAUGACAACCCCGAUCUCUGGACUCCCCUGAGAGACCUGCUCUUUGCUCUAGAACCCGGGAAAGUUAUAGUAACUACCCGGAACGAGUCGACAGCUACGAUCAUGCAGACAAUGCCACUUUAUAGGUUAGACCGCUUGGGCUUUGAUGAUUGUUGGUUCAUCUUUGUACAACAAGCCUUUGAAGGUCGAGAUCCAAAUGCACUUCCGGAAUUGGUAGAAAUCGGUAAAAAGAUUGUCGUGAAGUGUAAGGGAUUGCCUUUGGCUGUCAAGGUACUUGGCGGCCUCCUUCGCUUCGAAAGUGAUGAGUGGAAAUGGAUUGAUAUUUUGGACAGCGAGUUAUGGGAAUUGGAUGAAGAGGAGGAUCAGAUCCUACCAGCGCUGAGAUUGAGCUACGAUCGCAUGCCACCAGCUUUGAAGCAGUGCUUUAUGUACUUCUCAUUGUUUCCGAAAGACUAUCAAUUCUAUAAAGAUGAUAUAAUCAGGCUGUUGAUGUCGCAAGGACUUUUCAGAUUCAAAGGAAAAGAGCUAGAAGAGGACAUUGGCAGAGGAUUUCUUGAUGACUUGUUACAAAGGUCGAUUCUCGAGUAUGAUCCUAACAAUGAGAAUAAAGAAAUACUGAAAAUGCAUGAUCUCGUGCAUGAUCUUGCACAAUCUGUAGGAGGGGAAGAAUUCGUUAGAGUAGACGAUGGCGAGCUAUGCAACCUCCCCGGAGAAGUUAGACAUUUAUCAUUGGUUUGGAGCAACUCCAUCUCUAACUUGAAUCUUCUGCCAUUAAAAAAAUUAAAAGCUUUUUUUUUUUUGAUUAAACAGGGGUUAACCCUAUUUUACAAAAAUUAAAAGCUCUACGGACGUUCGUAUUUAUCAUAAGGGAUGGUAUUCUCAUACACCCAGAAGUUCGUGUUGAUGUACUGAAUGAUCUCUUUCGAAACUUGAAAAGACUACGGGCUUUAGAUUUGAGAUGGACAAGAAUUGGAGCAUUGCCCGAGUCAAUCGGGAACUUGAAACUUCUGCGCUACCUUGACAUUGGACAUACUGAGGUUAAGAGGCUUCCAGAAUCGAUAUUUGGUCUCUACAAUCUACAGGCAUUAGGGAUUAAAUAUGAUGCCUUGGCGGAGUCAUCAGAAGCUAUAAAGGAGUUGGUCAACUUGCGACAUCUUCUAUUUGAUGGUAAUGAAUAUGCAAACUACCUCCCAUCAGGUAUAAGACAUCUGACAAACUUGCAGACAUUGAUGACUAUUCCUAUAGGAAGAGAUCCUAGGCACUUUAGGAUACAAAAUCUAAAGAACUUGUCCCACUUGAAAGAAGUGCGGAUUUUAAAUCUCAAAGAUAUUGAUAGUGUUGAGGAUGCUCAAGAGGCUAAUUUGAAGAGCAAGAAAGAUCUCACAAUCUUGAGAUUGUCAUGGAAAUGCAGUUACAUCCUCUACUGUAAUACAAGCCGUGGGCAAAGUUCUGGAGACCCUUCGAAGAUCCCUUCAAAAGCCACUAGAUCAUUGGUACCUGUUGAGUGGUUUGAGGAACGGAUACUUGCCAGCCUUGAGCCACAUACCAACAUCGGAGAAUUGAUGAUAUAUUAUUACGGAGGUAUUCGAUUCCCCCUGUGGUUUGGCGAUGUUUCCUUCUCCAAGUUGGUCAAAAUGACACUAAUGAAUUGCCAGAAAUGUAUAUUGCUCCCGUCGCUGGGUCAACUGCCUUCUCUGAGGUACUUAGAUAUGUCUUAUAUUGAAAGCCUGCAACAUAUUGGAUGGGAGUUUUAUGGUUGUAGUUCUGAAGUAAAGGGGUUCCGGUCACUGGAGACCUUGCUAAUCUCAUGGAUGGACAAUUGGGUGGACUGGGGUGGUGGUGAAUGUGGCGACUUUCCUCGGCUCCAGCAACUUAAUAUUGCAGAAUGCCCUAGGAUACAGAGGCUUCCGCAACAUCUUUAUUCCUCAUUGACCCGAUUAGUUUUGUGCAAUUGCGAAAAACUUGAUGAACUUCCUUUGCUCCCUUCACUGACUCAUUUAACUCUGCGAGGUAAGUUUGAUGAAAAGAUAUUCUCUUCUUUGCAUCUCCAUUUGCUUCGUUUUUUAGAAAUUACGGGCCUCAAGACUCUUCCUGUUGAAUUUCGAAAAAUGUACUCCCUCCAAAAAUUAUGUAUUUCUCAAUGUUACGAAUUGGAAACGGUGGUGAGUUUUUUCGAACUUCCUUCUCUUGAGGAAUUGUCAGUAUGGAGUUCUCCUCAAGUACUGUUUCGACUUCAUCUGUCUGAAGAUGUCAUAACCGGAAAUUGCCCUUUGCUUCAAGAGUGGUGCAGAAGACAUGACAUCGACCUGACAUAUUCAGGUAUGAUCCUCUACAAGAAUUCUAUACAGUUCUUGCGCCCAUUUACUAGUUCAUAUGUUUCCCUCCUCAUAUUCAUUUUUGUGUUUUGGAAACAGGUUAACUUGGCAAGAAAGAAUCUUCCAAUGGUAAAGCAACAGCAUAGUCGCACUUCACUGAAUAUUGAGUAGAUUAAACAAUGCCUUGCAAUAUGUAUUGUCGGUAAGAGGAUUAAUCUGAGUUUUACGGCUGAUUUCAGUCACUUCACACUUCUGGUUUUGAUCAAAUCAGAAUGUGUAGAAGAGGAUAAACUGAAGGGGCUGAUUUUGCAAUUUGAGUGAUUGUUGUAUUGAGUGAUCAUCCUUUCUUUUUAUGUUUUUUCCUAUAUUUUCUAACUUUGUAAUCUUUUCUUCAUGGCUGCUGAACUGAACAUGAAUUGAGUUUGGUAUAAGAUAAAAUUAUAUUUUUACCGCUGAGUCUUGUUAUUGUCCUAUGCAAUGUCACUCAGGUAUUCGCAGAGUAAGUUUACGACACUGAGUGAUUCUGAAACUAUAUUUUACAGGAAUUUUGAUCUUCACUGUGCUCUGUACAACAAUGAUUAGUAAUCAGGUUUAGAGAAGUAGCAGUAUCCAUCUUAAGAUUACUUUUGCAUUUCCUCCUCACCAACUUGAGCCAUUUGCUAUUCCUAUUAUAAUGUGCAUUUUCCAAGUUUAGAAAUUUCAGAGGCAAAAGGGUAUAUAAAAUUUGCUUUUGUGAUAAUAGGCUCUGUUAGAAAAUCAGUCUUCAGCAUUACCAGUGAUCAUGCUAAGUCUCCAUCCAGAGUCCACCAUUUUACUCUUCUAAAUGACACCUGAAUUAGUUGUAAAACUAGUUAUUUGCGCAGCUCAAAUCACAUCAAUAAGCCCGCAAUGCAUAUUUGGCCACAUUUAUGCAACUUAUUUUUGGUUUUUUUUUGGGUAGUCAUCUCUAGAAAAACAUCAGACAUAUUACGAAGUCGGAAUUGUUGCUAUGCUGGAAAACUGACAUGAGAUUAUAAGUUUUCAUAGCCCUGAACUCUGAUUUAUACUUUGUAAGUAUGUUAAAAAAAGAAAAUUAUCAGUGGUUUUUCUGUUAUGUUGGCUGUGCCUGGUUGGCUUGUUUACAACAUUUUGCAUAUUACUUCUUUUGUGUGUGUUUUUGGUUCAAUGCGUUAUACUGGGUGCCUGAAAGAUGGAUUUGAACAAAGAAUUGAACCUGCUUGAUUCCUACUAUGUUUAUGUGGUGUAUCUGCAUGGAAGUUGUAGCUGCAUAACAGUGGUUUGCAACUCGGAAUUUCCUAUAUGUUUAUAAGAAGCCAACUUGAUAUCAAAUGUUUAUGGUGCCUUUUAUUGGUUGUUUUGCGGGUAGCCACCUCUCUUGCAAGUAAGAGAUUGGCGGGUAGAAUUCGUUUGCAUGUGUAGAUGUGGGCCUAUGGACAGUAUUCUUAAAAUAGCAAUGCUAAUGGUACACCCAAACAUGGGUGUAGAUCUUACGUCUUAUCCAUCUGAUGAAUGAGAAUUUAUGUAUCACGAAUAUUUCUACAAGUUUCGCGUGUCCAUCUAAUGAAUGAGAAUUUAUGUAUCACGAAUAUUUCUACAAGUUUCACGUGCCUGUUGUGUCUGUGUCAAACUCGUGUUCAAUAUGAACACGCCAUGAACGCGCGUUCAACUCGUGUCCAUGUUGCAUCCUAUAUAUAUAUAUAUAUAUAUAGCAGGACUGCUGUGCUCUCAGGAGCACGGAGGCCUUCGUGCUCCUGAGCCGUUUUCGAUGAUGGAAUUUUCGAAUCGACGAUCGGCUCCGUUAGACUUGAUCUAGCGCAUUUGAAGUUUCUAGAAAAUAUUUUUUGCGAUUUUUUGAUAUCAUUUACCUAGUGAUCGAAAGGAUUCAAAAUCAAUAAUUUUUAAUGGUUGAUAUCUGCCGUUUUCAAGUUUAACGGUGUAGAAGUAUUCAAAUCAGAUGAAAUUUUGAUACAAAAUUCUUUAUACUAUCUACAACAAGAUCAAUAUUUCUGAUCGAAAAUUUUAGUGCUAUAUCACCACUUUUUAUAGGAUUUUUAUUUUCAGCCGUUAAAAAUUAUUGAUUUUGAAUCCUUUCGAUUGCUAGGUAAAUGAUAUCGAAAAAUCGCAAAAAUUAUUUUCUAGAAACUUUAAAUACGCUAGAUCAAGUUUAACGGAGCCGAUCGUCGAUUCGAAAACUCCAUCAUCGAAAACGGCUCAGGAGCACGGAGAGCACAGCAGCCCUGCUCUAUAUAUAUAUAUAUAUAUAUAUAUAUAUAUGGGUGAGCUAGAAUACUUCUAGAAGUAUUUAGAUUUUUUUUUUUUAUAUUUAACUUUUUCGCUUUUGGAUCAACUCUUUUAAUCCCUACUAGCUCUUGGAUUAAUACUAUUAAACUAGGGGGAUCUCUAUCAUCGCAAUCUAAUGAGGUGAAGAGUUAACCCAAAUAAUUAUCACUAGUGAAAGUCUCUAAUUAAUGCAUGCACAUGAUAUUAUUUUGCUCUACUUAAUUUCUAUCAGGCUAAUAAUCAUUACUAAUUAAGCUGGGAAUUUUUUGACUCUUAAAUUGACAGAUUAAAUGAUUUUUGUCAAUUUGGAUCUUUAGAUUCCAAGUGUAUAGUAUUUGGAUUUUAAAGAUAAAUGAAAUUUGAUUUAUCAUAUUCAGCUGGUUAUCUACAAAAAGCACAUAAAGAAUCUCAAAGAUUACAGCAAUUCGAUUUUUUUGAAAAAAAAUGAAAAUUUUUUGAAAUUACAUUCGACUCUAGUUUGUAAUUUUUUUCAAGAUUAUGGUCCGAAGAGCUGAAACCGAAACUAUUGGGCCAAUAUUAUUUUUGAGAAACUAUUGGGCCAAUAUUAGGCAGGAGUUUAUGUGUAGAUGAAGGCUCUUGUCGCAAGCAUGUUAGGCCCACCCAGACCCAUCAGUGAAUUUCUGAAACAAUCUUUCUUAAUUUUAUUGGGCCCAAUAAGCCCAUACGUAAGAUCAUUGUCAAAGUGGAUCAGAACUGGUCCACCAUUUUUUAUUUUUUUUUGGGGGUGUAAGAAACAAUGAAUAUGUGCACUAAAACUUAGGAAUUUAAAGUAGUCCAGAAGGAAUAUAAAGUAGUCCAGAGUAGCAGAACAAAAAGUUGGUUUGAGUAAGGAUAUAAAUCAAUUGCUAAAUGAUCUUAAAAAUUUCAAAUUUCUUUUGGAACAUUUUCAGUUUUUGAUUUUGUACAAAUGAAAGUGAGGAUAAGGAACAAACAAAGGAGAAAAUGCAAAUCGCUUUCCAACUUGCUGAGUCCACUUAAUAUUUGGUCAGAGUCAAUUGAUAAAUUGGUGGGCUGUGUUCCUUAAACAUCUGAUAACCGUGAAAAAAUGGCAAGUUUUCACACUUUAGGCCUAUUUUUAGGUUGGAUUUGGUCAUUUCAACCUAAACUAUAAAAAUCUCACCAUAGACCUUAGCCUAUGUGAUAGAUGCUGUAUUCAUCCUUUGAAUUAUGCAAGUUGCUGUGUUCAAAUAAGAACAUGACUCAUAUCCGUCCAAUUUAAUCUGUGUGUAAAUUGGUAAAUUAACUAUGAUGGCAAAAUUGUCUGAGGAGGAAAACUAACUAAUCACUACCAAUACGUGCAACCCAAAAUGGGACAUUGAUAUUUUUUUUGUUGAAAAAAAAUUACAAAUGUUCUCAAAUGAGUAAAAAAAAGUAACCAUGUAGGUAUUAUAGAGGCUAUUACUGUGGUCAAAACUCAAAAGUCAUGAACACAAUAUAAUUGAGUAUCAUCAAUUAUCAAAACCAUCCAUACGUAAGUCAAAUUUCACGAAGAUAGCAUGCGGUACCUCUUCACAACAUUUAUAUGAAAUUCUUACAACCAACCAUCCAUUCACCUACAGAUAACAUUAUAUAAAUCAAUCGAAAACACUAAUUUUUCAUAUUAAAUAUUAUAACUAGUUAUUGACUGUCCCUAACAUAAAUAGAAAAAGACUCGGUGGUUGGUACUGGAAAUCUCAAAUUUAAAGUUUAUAUGCUACCUUGGAGUUGUUUAGAAUUUAGAAUAUAGGAUUAGCAUGCUACCUUUCUUUUUCUUUUUCGGAAAAAAAAAAAACUAUUACAACUAGUUUCUUUUUGCAUAAAAUAUUAUUACAAAACAAUAAAAACAUUUGGCGUAAUAAUUGCAAAAAAAAAGUCUAAAUCUAAAAAAAAGUUUAGUAUCAUCAUUUCUGUAUAUUAAUUAGGCUACGAAAUUGAUAUAUGUUUAUGAAAAUAUAAUAAUGCAAAGAAAAUGAAAUUAGCAUAAAAAAUAAGAAAAUACUAUUGAAAUUUAGAAUUUAGGAUAGUGUGGUUUGGAAUUUAGAAUUUAGGAUAACAUAUGCUUAUAUAGUCUGAAAAAUUAAUAGUUUUACCCAUGAAUAAGAUAUAACAUUUGGUACAAUAAUUGCAAAAAAAAAAAAAAUCUAAGUCUAAAAAAAAGUACUAUGGUCAUUUAUGGAUAUCAAUCAGCCUACGAAAUUGAUAUAUGUCUAUGAAAAUAUAAUAAUGCAAGGAAAAUAAAAUUAGUAGGAAAAAUAAGAAAAAAUAUACUGAAACUUGAUCAAUAAAAAAAAGUGCUUUAGAUUUUAUAAUUUAGAAUUUAAAAUUUGGGGUAGCAUAUGCUUAUAUAGUCUGAAAAAUUAAUUUACCCAUAAAUAAAAUAUAACAUUUGGUAUAGUAAUUGAAAAAGAAUGUCUAAGUCUAAAAAAAAAAGUACUAUCGUCAUUUUUGGAUAUCAAUUAGGCUAAGAAAUUGUAAAAUAAAUAAAAUUAACAGAAAAAAAAUAAAAAAGAAUAUACUGAAACUUGAUAAUAUAGCAUCCUAACUGAUAUUUGUAAUACACUUGCUAGCAGAGGACUCGGAGAGAAGAGAAAAACCUGACGUGAUAAUACGUUUCGGACAAGGACGAGCUAGUCACGAAUGGGCUUUCAGGACGACGAGUGGGCUUAUUGGAGUGUUCGGAGCGUUAGAGAUUCAAGAAGGAAGGCAAUCAAGCUGAAUCAAGUUGUUACUACAUCUGAUAAUUCAAGUAUGUAUAAUUUUUUGCAGGAGAAGGAAAGGUUAUUGUAAAGUCUACAAGUCUUCCUUGACAUACGAUCGGAUGACACUGAAUUUGAGGUACAAUUAGCUUUCACUAAUGUUGAUGUUUGUGAUUAUUAAUUAAUUUUCAUAAUUUAAGAAUAAUGUUAUAUUUUUAAAGGACUGGUUUGCUAGUGACUCUAUUUCAUCAUUAUCAUUUUGCUAUUUGUGAGGCCUAUUAAAUUGUUAUGAGUAUAAUAAUACUGAAAGCAGAUUUAGUUAUCUCGGUGCGUGUUUAUUAUUUAAUUAUAAUUUUAAUCUAAUUAUUUUGUAUUAAUAUUAUUAAUAUUUGUUUGUUUGUUUGGCAGGAAAGACACAUAUAAAAAGUAUGCUAAAAAGUUUUACUAUAUUUUAAGUGUCUUUAAAAUUAUCAACUAGCUUUUUUUUUUAUGUAUACAGGUGUACAAAGUAAACAGAAGCUUUCAAUAAAAAAAUCUACUAUUUUCAUUUUGAUCUCAAUAAUAUUCUUCUACGUUUCUAACUAAUAUUUAUUAUAUCAAAUUAUAAAUACACCGACUGUCCCUAGCGUAAGUGGCAAAAGGUUUGGUGGUUGGUACUCGAGGUACCAAGUUCAGCAUGCUAUCUAUCUCUCCAAAAAAUUAUAAAUAUAUUAUAUUUUUCUAAUAUAAAUUUUUUAACUGUAGUUUGUUAGCAUAAUUUGUCAAAAAAUUUAUGUUAACAAAAUAUAAAACAUGCUAGAAAAUAUGUCUAACAAACUGCAAUUAGAAAUGUAUAAGAAAAAAUAUAAAGCAUAUUUUGUUAAGAAAUUCAUGUUACGAAAAAAUAUAAAGCAUGUUAAUGUUAAUAAAUUUAUGUUAGAGCUAUGCUUUUGAAAAAAAAAUACAUUUAUGUUAUAUUUUGUUAAAAAUAAUGUUAAAAAUUUUAAUAAAAAUAUGCACAGCAAAUAACAAUUAAGAAAUUUAUGUUAUUAAAAAUAUAAAACACUUACAAUUUUGAUAUAAUAAAAUGUUAGAUAGAAACGUAAAAUAACAUCAUUGAAAUCAAAAUAAAAAAUGCCAUAUUUUUUUAUCGAAAGCCUUCCAUUUACUUUGUACACGUGUAUACAUAACAAAAAAAAAAAAUUACUUGAUGAUUUGAAAGAAACUUCAAAUACAAUAAAACUUUGUAUUCAGAUAUAUUUUUAUUUUUGAUACCUUUCAUUAAAGCACCGUAAGUAAACUGUCAGAUGACGCUGGAUUUGAGUUUCAAUUAGUUUUCAUUGAUUUUAGUAUUUGUGAUUGUCAAUUUAUUUCAUAAGUUAAGAAUAAUGUUAUGUUUUCAAAGGACUGGUUUACUAGUGACUCUAUUUCGUCAUUAUCGCUAUACUGUUCGUGAGGCCUAUAAAGUUGUUAUCAGUGCAAUACUACUAAAAGCAGACUUAGUUAUAUCGAUGCGUGUUUAUUAUUUAAUUAUAAUAUUGAUCGGAUUAUUUUGUACUAAUAUUAUUAAUAUUUGCUUUUUUGUUUGGCAAGAAUGUCACCGACUUGUAAUACAUUUUACCUGCAAUAUCGAGAUAUCAAUAGACCUCGCUUUUACCAUUUUGAAUUAAAUUAUGUAGAAAGCUUAAUACAGAUUAAUAUUUGUUUAGUAUUAUAUUGUGUGCGUAAUUUCUUAUAUCUUUAUUUUGUUUUGCAGGAAGUAAGUUAAUACCUAUUGUUAUGCACACAGCACGAGUGUUUGUUAUGUUUUCUCUCUAUUUUAUUAUCAUGCUUUCGGUAUAGUUCAGCACCAUUUUUUAUAACACCCUUAUUGUGUGCUAUGUGUAUAAUGAUAGGUAUUAACUUCCUUCCUGAAAAAUAAAAUAAAGAUAUAAGAAAUUACGCACAUAAUAUAAUACUAAACAAAUAUUAAUCUAUAUUAAGCUUUCUACAUAUCUCGAUGUUGUAGGUAAAAUGCAUUAAAAGUCGGUUACUUCCUGCCAAACAAACAAGCAAAUAUUAAUAAUAUUAAUAUAAAAUAAUCCGAUCAGCAUUAUAAUUAAAUAAUAAACACGCACCGAUGUAACAAAAUCCACUUUUAGUAGUAUUUACAUUCACUACAACUUUAUAGGCCUCAUGAGCAGUAUCAUGAUAAGGACGAAAUAAAGUCACCAGCAAACCAGUGCUUUGAAAACAUAACAUUAUUCUUAAAUUAUGAAAAUAAAUUAAUAAUCACAAAUAUCAACAUCCAUGAAAACUAAUUGCACCUCAAAUCUAGUAUCAUCCGAUGGUUUGCUUAUGGUGCUUCAGUGAAAGUCAUCAAAAACACAAAUAUAUAUGAAUAAAAAGUUUUAUUAUAUUUAAAGUUUUUUUCAAAUCACCAAGUCAUUUUUUUUUAUUCUGUAUACAAGCGUACAAAGCAAACAAAAGAUUUUUAAUAAAAAAUCUAUUAUUUCUGAGUGAUGUUUUUUACUUUCCAUCUGACAUUUUAUGUUGUCAAAAUGUAAAUGCUUUUUAUUUUUUCUAACAUUAAUUUUUUAACUGUUGUUUGCUGCGCAUAUUUUAUCUUAAAUUUUUUAAUAUUAUUUCUUAACAAAAUAUAAAAGCAUAUUUUUUUUCUUUUACGGAGGUAUAGCUCUAACAUGAAUUUCUUAACAUAUUAUAUAUUUUUUUCUUAACAUGAAUNAUAUAUAUAUAUUUUACAUUAUUAACUUAAUUUAGUCCAUAUUUUCUACCAUACUUUAUAUUUUAUCAACAUAAAUUUUUCAAUAAAAUAUGCUAACAAACUACAGUUAAGAAAUUUAUGUUAGAAAAAAUAUAAUGCAUUUACAAUUCUCCCAUUUAGGUGGCUUCAUAGAAAAAUUAAGAAAAAUAUAUCUGAAAAUAAAUGUAAUAUAUAUUAAUUGCUUUAGGAUAGUUACAAGUAUUCAAUUAUCUACUUCUAAAUUUAGUUGAUAACAAAAUUGCUUAUUCCACAUCCCAAAAUGCUUUCAUGAGCAAAAUUAUCAAUCUGCUAUCAAAAAAAUGUAUUAAAAAAAUUAAAACAAAUAAAUGUUAUUAAUGAUAAGAACUAUACUUCCAUACAAUAAUUAUCUAUGAUUAAUUAAUAAAGGAUAUAGUCAAUAUACUAUACUUCCAUACAAUAAUUAAUAAAGGAUAUAGUCAACAUUUUAUUGAGAAAAUAGACUAGUCAAGUUACCAGCUUAAUUAAUUAAAAAGAAUAAUUCUGGAAUGUUAUUUGAGCAUCAUCAUUAUUUUCUUUAAAGUUUGUUUUAUUUUUAUAUAUAAAACAUUUGCUAGAGAAACAAUUAUAGUCUUAUUCCAUUACCGUAAUUAGAUUUGCAAUUGGGAUCUAAAUUUGAACUAAAAAAUUAAAGUUAUGAUUAAAAUUUUAAAAUAAUAGUAAGAAACUUUAAAAACAAUAAAACUUUUAUUUAGAUGUUUAUGUUUUUGAUGCCUUUUGUUGAAGCAGUGUGAGCAAACAAUGGAACGACACUCUAGAUAGAAAAAAGACCUAUGUUUUCUCAUGACCGGAACAAAUCUCUCUUAAUUAAUUUUUUAGAAUGAUUAUUGAUGUAUGAUGAUCUAUUUCUAAAUUUAGUCGAGAGAUAACAGAGUUAGUUCUUCCGCAUCUCAAAAUGCUUGUGUGAGAAAAACUACCAAUCUGCUAUCAAAAAGUUGUAUUAGAAAAAUUGACAAAAAAAAAAGUUUAAUAAUAAAAGCUAUGCUUCUAUACAAUAAUUAUCUCUAACCCUAUCUGUAAAGUAACAAAGACUAUAGCCAACAUUUUCUCAAAAAAAAAAAAAAAAAAAACUAUAGCCAACAUUUUGUUGAGAAAAUCGGCUUGUCAAAUUGCUAACCUAACUAAUUAAAAAGAGUAAUAAUAAUUUUGGCAUGGUAUUUGAGCAUUAUUAUUAUUUUCUUUUGGGCAUUUUAAAGUUUGUUUUAUUUUAAUAUAUAGAGAAUUUGCUAAAAAAACAGAGUAUAGAUGUUAAUCAUAUUAAGUAUACUAAAAUGUAUAAUUGGGCUAAAUUGUUUAAUUAAAUUUAAACUUAAUUUGUUAAUAUUUCAACUAAUUUAUGCUAUUCUUGGGUUGGACUAUUCCAGCUAGUUUUCAGAGGACAUAAACAUCUCGUUAAGGUGUUAUUUGUUAAAAUUAAAAAAAGACCCUCAUAUAGAGUUUGAAUAAGUUAUUUAAAGAUUUUUAUGUAUUUUGAGCGAGUUAUGAGGUCCCGAAAUUGAGACUUUCAUUCUAAUCCGAGAAUAGAGCAAUAUAGUGGAAGUGGUGGAUUUGAAUAAGUUUAAGUCAUUUAAAAAUAAGAUAAAAAUAAAAGAUUAAUAGAGAUACUCAUUGUAUGUUUGUUAGGUACUCUGUACACACAAACCGGAGCUUCCACCGCUGAACCUUCCACAUCUUAGAUCGGUUUUUUCUUAUUUUGAGGUGGAAUCUCUAUCUAUUGAUGAUGAAUUUUAUCGGUCCUCUUUAGUAUCAAACAUGCAUGUAUAUUAUUAUUGAAUGUUCAUAAUUCUUAUUGCUUGUUUUGUUAUUGUUCUAAAAAUUCAUGCCCUUGUGUUGCAAUGAGAUUUGAUCUUAUGCUCUAGUAUGUUUCUUGUUAUCAUAUUAUACUAGUAGAUGGUAUGCAUUUGUAUUGGAAGAUAAUAUAAUUUUAGUUAUUUAUCUAUUCCAAUUACGCUAUAUUAGAACUAUGUAUUAUACAAACUUGCUAUUUGUUAAGUUAAGAGCAUAACCCAUAUUAAAGUUUUAUUUAUGUUUAAAUAAAACGGUAUUAUAGUAACCAAUUUAUAUUAGUCAAUUUUGAAUGUUUAUAAUUUUUGAAUUGUUUGUAAAAAUUUAUAAUAUUAUGAGGAUGUUGAUAUUAACGUCGGAUAUAUUUAAUCUUUCAAUCUUAAAUUAUAUGAUGGGUCUGUAGCUGUUACACCUCUGUGGUGCUUCCGCUAUCGGGGUGCUGUAGAUUAAGUAAUUUAAAUUUAAAUUUUAAAUUUAAAUAAAAUUUAAAUUCGUAACUUGAAAAAAAUUGAAAUUAAAAUUAAAAUUUUAAAAUUGCUAUUCACAAUGCAACCUGAAAAAAAAAAAGAAAUCUAAUUCAAAUUCACAUUGAAGUAAAAAAGUUUGGAGAAAAAUGUGUUUGAGAACUAAACUUUGUAAAAAUAAAUCUACAAGUUUAAAAGUUUAUAGGGAUAAAAUUGAAAUUAUCUCUCACUUGAAAUAAAAUUUUCUUUAUUAGUUAUUUUUUAAUUUCUGAAAAGCCCCUAGCUCGGGGUACCGGGUGAUUGGUAUCAUUUGUAGAAUAGCAAGUCAUGGGGUUGGUUGCACCAAUAAAUCUUUUUCAUUCAUAGUUUGAAAAUUAAUGGUCAAGAUUAGAAUGAGAUAUUCGUACAUUGCUCUAAUAAUAAUACUUUUUCAUUACUAACAAUAUAUUUGUAAAUUACCUUUAGAUGUCAUAUUUUCUCUCUAUUUUAUUAUAGAUAUUAUUGAUGUAGAUAAUAUGUGAAUGCUACAAUCUUUCGCUAUGGCAUCUAUUUUGUGGGAGUCAAACUUUAUACUAGUUAUUAGUUUUAGAGAGAUAGGUAGCAUGCUACCCGCUUUGUUUAUUUCAUUUAGAAAUAAACUUAACUGAAAAUGUGAAUCAACUAAGAUUCGAACUUGGGUCGCGGAUACCAAUCACCAAGCCCUUUGCCUAUUGCUCUAGGGACAGUCGGUGAUACUAGCUAUUAUUGAUAUAGAAAACAUGUGAAUGCUACAAUCUUUCGCAAUGACAUCUAUUUUGUAGGAGUGGAACUUUGAUGCUACGUGAACCCUAUGGAUCGAGUAGAUUUUAUUUUGUCUUGAUAUGUCUGAACCUACGAACAUUGAUAAUAUGUCAAAUCAAUAAAACAUUUUAUAAUAAUUUAACCUUUUCUUUCUUUCUAUUUUUAUUCUCAUAGUGUGUACAAAAUCACUGGCUGCAGAAAGCUAGGGGUGUGUUUGAAUCGAGGUCGGAAUCGGUAUCAAAAUCGGAAUGAGAAUAAGCUAGAAACGGAAUCGAAAUAAUUCAUUACCUUAUUUUGUGUGGUUCGCCACCUGAAUCAGAAUCAAAAUGAACCAUUCCUAUUGUCCGUGUUUGGUUCAGAUAAAUAUUAGAAACGUAAUCAAAUUAAUAUGUCAAUUUUAUCUUUAUAAUAUAAUUGUUUAAAUUCAAACUAAAAAUUAAAUACUAAAAAUGUAAAAAUUUUAAAAUGAUGUCAAAAUUUUAAAUAUAUAUAUUUUUAAAAAAAUAAAAUUUGAAAUUGAAUGGAUAAAUCAAAAUAUAAAACUAAAAUUUGAUUUAUUCAAAUUCAAACUUAAAAUUAUAAUUUAAAUUUCAAUUUGAAUCCAUAAAUUUAAUUUAAAUUUUAAAUAAAAUUUGAAUAAACUUUAGAUUUAAAUUAAAUUUAAAUUUAAAUUCAAAUUUAUAAAUUAGAUUUGAAAUGCUUGAUUGAAUUUUAAUUUUUAAUUUAAGUUCAAAUUAAAAUUAAAAUUUAUAAAUAUAAUUUUUAAACUUAAACUUAUAUUUUAAUUAAAAAGUUAAAUUUAAUCCAAACAAAUCCAUUCCGCCCGGUUACAAUUUCUAAUCCGGCCUCAUAGGCCGGAUUAGAAGAAGAAAUAAUUGGGGGAUUCCCAUUCACCCGAAAAUCGGAAUCGAAAUAAAAAUCUUGCAUCGAAAUACGAAAAACGGAUUCAUCUAUUCUGAUUCCGAUUCUAGAGUAAAAAAUGGGCAAACCAAACACGCCCUAGAUGUACACACAAAUAUCUUAUUCGAGAAGAGUCUAUUUUAAUAUGUGAAUGUUUUAUUAAGCAUAGUUUUUAUUUACUCAAAAAUUUAUAUUAUUUGAUGGUCAGAAAGUAUAAUGAAAUGUGUCCUAUUUGGCUGUUGAGCAAGAGGAGAUCCAUCCUAGUGUAUAUAUAUAUGGCCGGAUGCCCAUCCUAGUAAUUUACAAGGCAAAGAACAAAUUCUAACAACUAAUCUAAUUUUUUUUAAAAAAAUGUAAAUUACAGAGUAAAAAAUGUAGUAACUUACAACAUUAACUAAAAGUCAAACUCAAGCAACACAAAACUGGUAAUCACAGCAGAAAUCAGGAUCCAAAAAGUAUCAAUUCAUACAAAAGAAAGAAUUAUUGAUUGUAAAGAGCACUUCAAAAGUACUGUAGCAAAGGAACAUAAAAAUUCUCAGAACUACAUGUAUUAACUCACAAUAAAUUAUUAAUGUACUAACAGCCAUAAUGUGAAGGAUUUUGAUUUGUCAAUAUAUGUAUUUUACAAGUGUCAUAUGAAUACAUUAACAUAUUAACAACCCAGCCGACCGUCCCUAGAGCAAGUGGCAAAGGGUUUGGUGGUUGGUAUCCGAGACACAAGUUCGAAUUCUAGUUGAUUAACAUUUUCAGCUACGUUUAUUUUUAAAUAAAAUAAACGCAGCGAGUAGCGUGCUACCUAUCUCUAAAAAAAAAAAAAAACAUAUUAACAACCCAUAAAUUUAGCUUUUUGGGGGCCCCAAAGCAAUUCUCUUUGUGUGAAGGAAUUUCCAAUAGAUAGCUGAUUCUUGUUUAUCCACACAAAGCGUUCAACUUUCCACCGUCCAAAGCAUUAUUCUUUAGCUGAUUCUUGUUUAUCCACACAAAGCGUUCAACUUUCCACCGUCCGAAGCAUUAUUCUUUGUCAUAAUUUUUUCUGUAAUAGUAAAUGGAGAGAGAGACUAAAUUGAAACAAUUCAAGUGACCCUCACUCUCUUAGAUUGUGAUAGAUGUUGACAGAGCAACAGAGAGAGCGUAAGUUCUUCUGAAAAAGAAAAAGAGACAGCGCAGUACAAUAAUUGGUGCUAUUCAAUUGAUCAAUAAUAGAUGAGAUGUAUCCACACAUACCAUGAAAUAGUUGCUAUAGUUCUUAAAUAUUGUUAUCUUCAGCAACUUAUAUAUGCAGCUGAGUGAAAGAAGAAGGAGGAGGAAAGAGAUCACUAAUGGCUGCAGGCUUUGUAUCUUCCAUCAUCAAGUGGACAGCCGAAAAAUUUUCUUCUUUGAUUCCUGCACAGACGGCCGGUUGUUCAACAUCCGAACCUUGCACUCGCGCCAGUGAAGACUUCGAGAUGCUGCAGAAGACGAUGCUGUCGAUCCAAGAAGUGCUCGAGAACACGGAAGAGAAGGACAUGCAGAGUUUCUCCGAAAAACUCCGCCUAAAGGAGCUGAGUGGAGCCGCUCGCGACGCCGAAGACGUGCUCGAAGAGUAUGAGUACGAAGUGCUGCGAGCAAAAGUCAUAGCUCGGAGACAAGCAGGCAGUGGCCGAAAGCGCAAGUUCGAGGAGGUAUGUGAAACCAGCACUGAUGAUAUUCCUGCACUAGUUCCCGUUCCGAAUGAUUUAAUAAUUAGAAUGAAGGAAAUCAAGAAGAGGUUUGACACGAUCACGAAGGAAUGGGACACUCUCCGUCUGAGAGAAAGCGACGGGCCGCGGCGGCGUGAUGAUCACGCGUGGACGCCAAAGCCAACUAGCUCCCUUCUACAUGAGCCUAAUGUUCGUGGGAGGGAGAAAGAUAAGGAGCAUAUAAUACAAAUGCUUCUCGAAGACGAUGAGAAUAGAAAAAAUUCGGUUUCCGUCUUACCUAUAGUUGGAAUGGGGGGGAUCGGUAAGACUACGCUCGCACAGCUUGUGUACAACGAUCCUAGAGUGUCUCGUCACUUUCGACAAAAGGGGUGGGUCUGCGUAUCUGAAAAUUUUGAUGUGCU
rnacentral:lncRNA from 1 species